CGGGGCGUAGCUCAGUUUGGCUAGAGUGCUGCGUUCGGGACGCAGAAGUCGACAGUUCAAAUCUGUCCGCCCCGA
rnacentral:tRNA from 1 species